GAUGAACGCUGGCGGCGCGCCUAACACAUGCAAGUCGAACGAUUAAAGCACCUUCGGGUGUGUAUAAAGUGGCGAACGGCUGAGUAACACGUGGGCAACCUGCCCCUCUCAUUGGGAUAGCCACGGGAAACCGUGGAUAAUACCGAAUACUUCGGGACUUCCGCAUGGAAGACUCGAGAAAGCUCCGGCGGAGAGGGAUGGGCCCGCGGCCUGUUAGCUUGUUGGUGGGGUAAUGGCCUACCAAGGCAAUGAUGGGUAGCUGGGUUGAGAGACCGACCAGCCAGAUUGGGACUGAGACACGGCCCAGACUCCUACGGGAGGCAGCAGUGGGGAAUCUUGCACAAUGGGCGAAAGCCUGAUGCAGCGACGCCACGUGCGGGAUGAAGGCCUUCGGGUUGUAAACCGCUUUCAGCAGGGACGAGGCGAAAGUGACGGUACCUGCAGAAGAAGCCCCGGCUAACUACGUG
rnacentral:rRNA from 1 species